ACAACAAUACAGAGAAAAUUAGCAUGGCUCCUGAGCAAGAAUGACACACAAGUUUGUGAAGUGUUCCAUAUUUUG
rfam:Ailuropoda melanoleuca scaffold440_3, whole genome shotgun sequence.